UACGUGUUGCAUUACCAUUCCUUUAUGAGUGUUGAUGACAGAUUUUUCGUGCGUUAGCGUCCCAUGCACACAACGGCGCCACGAAGAAUACGUCAAUGCCUGUCUUAAAACUGCGCCAAACGUAUUUCACCCCAGGAAACCCGAUACCUUGUGAUCAGCAUAAUACCAAUCGAGCAGCUUUGUGAAUUUAAGCGUGAACUUACAUAGGAUUAGAUUGAAGAAAAUCAUCACAAUAGAGCUAUAUCAAUGGACAUAUACAUAUACAACUGAUAUGGAACGAUAUAUUUGUUCUAGUACUACGAAUGGACUGAGAAUGUGUGUUCCGCAGGCCCAAACGUCAUCUUACCGGUACUAGUAAUCGGGCCGGUGCAAGUAUCCCUAACGAACAACGAAGCUCUGAAACGGUCCGUGUGGUCAAAUUAACAGCUUAACAAUUUUCCAGGUGAUCACCGACAUAUCAGUCCACUCUAUUGUCAAGGAA